rnacentral:misc_RNA from 1 species
AUGGUCACACUAGUAAGCGUGGUGGAAGUUGGAAAAAAAUAUAAAAAGCACAUGUCUUUAAGUUUUAGUUAUAUAUUGUUUUAAAAGCUUAUUACAUGGUGUCGAGCACUAUCAGAGUUGGAUUGCUCAAUAUUGGCACAAGAAUGGCCAAAGUGGAAACAAAGCUUAUGUACAUGCACAUGUUGACUGGUCUGGAAAAGAUGCGGAUCCAGAGCCUAUGAAGAUAGCCACUUUCUUGUGGUUGGCGGGUUCUAAAGCAACGGGAAUCUACAAAGCAAAGUUUCCCAACGAUGGACAACAAACAGUAUGUUAGGAACUGCAGCAACGUCAGCAGACCCUUCAUCAUCAACUGUGCAAGCUGUUGGUCGCCCACUGGACGAUGUACUGACAGCAUUCGACAAACGUAGUAUUCCAUUUCGAAAUACUACAAUGGAAACCUAUAAAUUCAAUAAUAUUAAACAGGCAGAUGGACAGCCUUGUAUUGAAUUCGAAAUGCAACUAUGCAAGCAAAUACAGUCAUGCGAUUUUGAGGGUACCUGUGGCCAAAAGUACGAAGAAAGAAUGCUAAUGGAUCGUACCAUUAUUGGCAUAAACGAUAAAAGGCUACAACUAAAGGUUCAAGAGUCAAAAAAUAAGAAGCUAGAGGAUGUACUAAACGAGUGCAAAGCCUAUGAAGCUGCUACGGAAAAGAACGCGAUUAUACAAAAUCGGCUACGUGUUUUGUUGGAGAGCAGUACCAUCAAUGCUGUUGCUCGAAAAUGCUUUAAUUGUGGAGCUAUAUUUAACCCAAAUCAUCUGGUCGAGUGCCGCGGCAAGGAGGCGACAUGUUGUCAAAAACUGGGACAAUUUGCGAGAUACUGUAAGCAGCAGAAAAAAACGGGGUAAAAAACAAUCCUCAAUUCCUUCAAUUAAUUGGCUAGAGUCAGAUCUUUUGCCAAUGAGUUUAAUGCAGCGCUCCAGUUUUCAAGCCCUAAUUAUCCUCAGAGCAAUGGAUUGGCAGAAAAAGAAGUGACAAUAGCAAAAAAUAUCCUAAAACGUUGCUCACAAGUAAAUGAUUAUAUAUAUAGGAUCCUUGAAUACAACGCUACCCCAGUAGCAAAUUUAGAUCCAGCACCAUGCGAAUUAUUCUUUGGAAGAAUGUGCAAGACCAUAUUACCAAUAAAGACUGCAUUAUAUGGAAAUAAAAUUAAUGAAGAAAUAAUCUCACGGAAGUUUAUCGAAAAAAAAAGGAAACAAAAAAAUAUUACGACAUGCACUUAAGAAGCCUGCACUCAAGUCCAUUUAUUAAAGGUGAUAGGGUUCAAUUUAGAAAAAAAAAAUGAAUGGGUUAAAGGAGUAGUCAAAAAAAGAGUAAACGAAAGGUCUUAUAUCAUAAGGGAUGAUUUUAAUAGCCAUUUUAGAAGAAAUAAAAGACUUAUGAAUAAAAUAAGUGGAGGAAACGCCUGUGAAGAUAUUGACUAUUUUCAUGAUUUUAUAAGUACAAACUUAAGUGAAAACAAAGAGAUUCCAAAAACUUAUAGUAAUUUAAGACAACAAGAAAAUGGUGUUAAAUUAAGUGAGACUGAGAAUAUUAUUAAUGAAAGUAUUGAAAAUGAAUUGAAUUGUGAAGAAAUUGAAAAUGAAGACGAAAUUGUAGACGUAAUUGAAAACACUAUUGUCAAUGAGGACGGAGGUGAUGUAUCUAAUUAUGAAACAGCUGGAAGCUCCAGUUCAGAGGACGAGACUAAAAUAGGAACCCAAACACAAGUUUCGCGAUCUGGAAGAAAAGAUACGGAUGGAAUUGAGUUAACUAAAACUAAAAAAAAA